UACGGGGGGAGCAAGCGUUGUUCGGAUUUACUGGGCGUAAAGGGCGCGUAGGCGGUCAGCACAAGUCAGUUGUGAAAUCUCCGGGCUUAACUCGGAAAGGUCAACUGAUACUGUGCGACUAGAGUGCAGAAGGGGCAACUGGAAUUCUCGGUGUAGCGGUGAAAUGCGUAGAUAUCGAGAGGAACACCUGCGGCGAAGGCGGGUUGCUGGGCUGACACUGACGCUGAUGCGCGAAAGCCAGGGGAGCGACCGGG
rnacentral:rRNA from 1 species